GUGGGGAAUAUUGGACAAUGGGGGAAACCCUGAUCCAGCAAUGCCGCGUGAGUGAAGAAGGCCUUAGGGUUGUAAAGCUCUUUCGGCGGGGACGAUGGUGACGGUACCCGCAGAAGAAGCCCCGGCUAACUUCGUGCCAGCAGCCGCGGUAAUACGAAGGGGGCUAGCGUUGUUCGGAAUCACUGGGCGUAAAGGGCGCGUAGGCGGCGCGACAAGUCAGGCGUGAAAGCCCCGGGCUCAACCCGGGAAUUGCGCUUGAUACUGUCGUGCUUGAGGCCGGGAGAGGAUGGCGGAAUUCCCAGUGUAGAGGUGAAAUUCGUAGAUAUUGGGAAGAACACCGGUGGCGAAGGCGGCCAUCUGGACCGGUUCUGACGCUGAGGCGCGAAAGCGUGGGGAGCAAACAGGAUUAGAAACCCUGGUAGUCC
rnacentral:rRNA from 1 species